GACGAACGCUGGCGGCGUGCUUAACACAUGCAAGUCGAGCGGAAAGGCCACUUCGGUGGUACUCGAGCGGCGAACGGGUGAGUAACACGUGAGUAAUCUGCCCCUGGCUUUGGGAUAGCCACCGGAUACGGUGAUUAAUACCGGAUACGACCACUUCUCGCAUGGGAUGGUGGUGGAAAGUUUUUUCGGCCAGGGAUGUGCUCGCGGCCUAUCUGCUUGAUGGUGAGGUAAUGGCUCACCAUUGCGUCGAAGGGUAGCCUUCCUGAGAGGGUGACCUGUCACACUGGGACUAAGAGACGGACCAUGCUCGUACGGGAGGCAGGAAUGGGGAAUCUUGGACAAUGGGCGGAAACCUGAUCCAGCAACGCCGCGUGAGGGAUGCCGGCCUUCGGGUUGUAAACCUCUUUCAGCAGGGACGAAGCGCAAGUGACGGUACCUGCAGAAGAAGCACCGGCCAACUACGAGCCAGCAGCCGCAGUAA
rnacentral:rRNA from 1 species